UACGUAGGGUGCGAGCGUUUAAUCGGAAUUACUGGGCGUAAAGCGUGCGCAGGCGGUUUUGUAAGCCAGAUGUGAAAUCCCCGGGCUUAACCUGGGAAUGGCAUUUGGGACUGCAAGGCUUGAGUGCGGCAGAGGAGACUGGAAUUCCUGGUGUAGCAGUGAAAUGCGUAGAUAUCGGGAGGAACACCAGUGGCGAAGGCGGCUACCUGGACCAGCAUUGACACUCAAGCACGAAAGCGUGGGGAGCAAACAGG
rnacentral:rRNA from 1 species